rnacentral:lncRNA from 1 species
GAGAAUUCAAGGACUCCAAAAAUUAUUUUUUUUUAUUCAUAUGAUGCAUUUUUCAUUUUCACGCAAACAUAAUUUAUGAUUAGUAAUGUUUUGAAAGAGUAUUUGCAGUGCCGACUCCUUGCUUGACUUGCGAGUUUUCUACACGCGAAUCAUCAAUUUGCAUACUCUAACCACGCUUCGAAUGUUUUAUAGAUGUACCCUCGCCGUCUAAGCCAUUUCGCCAACUCCAUACAAAGCGAGCAUGACGUUAGCGCUCUUUUCACCGGAGUUUACCGUCUUCAAUGCAAAUUACAAUAUUCCCAGGCCACUUGAAUUCGAAUAUGAAGAUAUAUGCGAGUCUGAUAAAAACACGAGGUUCCCUUGUAUUCAAUCGAACGAAUAAGGAAACAUUCAUACAUAUAACUCUCGUCGAUUUUCUUUUCGUCUUAUUUCUUUCUUCAACCUCAUUCUCACUUUUGCCUACUUUCCAUAUUUCUUUUUCUCAUUCCAUCUUCGAUAACGAAAAGAAAGUAAAUUGGAUCGAACCUCUGGCGGACGAAAACGUUUCCUUAAAUCGAGCUUUCGAGGGCUGACGAGCGUUAUAAUUUCAAAAUUUUCAAUCACGAAUCGUUUAUCUCUAGAAUCGUUGUUGCGAUUAUGGGAAAGGAUAUUGAAUCGUAAAAAAGUUUCAGUUUUUAUUUGAUCAAAUUCGAUUUGAUAUUGCAAAAAGUUUCGUUAAAGGUUGUGUGUUGUCAUCGCGGGAUCGUCGAUAGUUGAAAACUCUUAUUCCCAUUUCAUCAAGAUUCGUUAAGCGUUAUACCCCGUUACUUACUCACAUUCUUUUUCUCCCUCAGCCAGUCUAGACCGAAUAUUUGGUGGAAGAAAAAAGAAGGAAAAGCGGUGUAUGCACUUGCGGUGUUGAAAAGUAAAAAACUUGGUAUCAAUUUCACGGAACAACGCGGUGUUCUAACAGCAGAAAAAGCGCAGCGUCCGGUAAUCCGGUCGACGUCGAGAUCGUCUUUUUGCCGAGAAUUCGCUCUGCCGCUUUCCGCUUAAUAUUGCGCCAUAAUCCUGCCGGCUGCAUCACAACCAGGGCCGAAAAUAAAUAUCUAUAUAUCCAUAAAACACGGUGGUAUCCAAAAGUGGAGGGUUGGUAUUCUCGAGAUUGCGAGUAUAGAUAGUCAGGAGGUGUCGAUGCGGAGCUCUCGGUCCGAGGCUGGAAAUGGGUUGGGUCGAGCAACGCGAGCGAUCAUCAUACUUAACGUUAAGUACUUAGCAAAUAAUAUAGAGACAAAAAGAAAAGGUGCUAUGCUUGGCAGAGGCUCGCGUGAAUGCAGCCGUGUUCGGGGCUUGCGGUAGGGACUAAAGAAUAAUUCAGACGACCAUAACGCGAAUUUCAAGACCUUGUUUAAAACUAGCCUCGUUGUCUAACUGUAUUGUUAUAAUAAAAAUGUGUAUAUUUAGAGAUCGCUGUUGCGAAUUCCGCUCAUUUCUCGCGACCCCUGUUCCUCUUCUGAUGCCAAGUGUUUCGUUUCGCUGAGACAAGAGAGAGAGAGAGAGAGAGUGAGAGAGAGAAAACGUGGUCUCUAGCGUGGUCAACACCAUCAUCGCCAGAGGAUCCACGGGACAAUGUUAUUUUACGGCGCUGUGCACUUGAGCCUCUUUCAUCCGGGGGAUCCGCUGCGAGAAUCGUCGCGGUUGUUGUUCGCCCGUUAACUGUUCGUCGUUCUCGGGAUCGCAAACGCCAUAGCAUCGCGAAUCGCUCGCGUCUCCGUCCGGCGGCAUUUAAUCUGAUCAGUCCUGGAUUAUAUCGGUAUAUGAUAUGAUAUUCUAUGUACGUACGACAAGCACAAACACACUUGCACACGCGCACAGGCACGAACUAUAAAUACAGAGAUAGAAUCCACGAUAUAAUGUCGUAUCCGAACGAGUUUUGUGCGCGGUAAACAACCCUUACCGUUCAAGUGCACAUCGAGAUCGUCAAGUGUGCUGAGAACGAACUUGGCAUCAUUCGAUGGGAAUCAGUUGUUUGGGAUCAGAAAACAAUGAUCGCUCGUUUCGAUCGUCUGAAUAUUCGCGAAUUAACUUCAUUUCCAAAUGAAUAUUCUCUUGGGAAAAUGGAAACAAGAUCGUUGAUGAGUAUCACUCUGGAUAAUGUGAAUGAGCGUUAGAUCGAGACGGGAUUAUGGCUUUGUAUAUGAUUUUCAGAUGAAUACGACUUCUGUCGCAGUGUAUCAAUGUAACGUAUAUGCCAGAGAAUAAAAAGACAUUGAGGGUGCGCUACGGAUAUCGUCGUCAAUGAAACAGACGAGACUAGACAGGAGCCUUGCCCUUUUUAUUGCAUCAAACGGUCUGUGACCAAGCUGCACGAUCGACUUGACUCGGUCACUCGGCCCCUGUCAUCUUGAAUCACCAUCUUUUUGCUUUUUUUU